rnacentral:rRNA from 1 species
UACGAAGGGGGCGAGCGUUGUUCGGAAUCACUGGGCGUAAAGGGCGCGUAGGCGGCCCUCCUAGUCGCGUGUGAAAGCCCCGGGCUCAACCUGGGAACGGCGCGCGAAACGGGGGGGGCUGGAGUUCGGGAGAGGAGCGUGGAAUUCCCAGUGUAGAGGUGAAAUGCGUAGAUAUCGUAAGGAAGACCAGUGGCGAAGGCGGGUCUCUGGACAGUUCCUGACGCUGAGGCACGAAGGUCAGGGAGCAAACGGG